UCCUCACCGUGGUGCCCUGUACUACUAUUACAAGGCCCAAAGCAAUGGAGCCAACUGACCAGAGGCUGGCUUUUCUGAAACUGUGCUCGGCAUGAUACUCAGUCAUCAAUGGUGUGAACUCUGCCAUCAGACUCAGUGAGGGAUGAGACACUGUCGUCACUCUAUGGGAUGAUCCAAGGCUCAGAACUUUAGAAACUUACCCAUCUGACACCUCCAGCUAUGAAGCACCGAGAAUGCCAGGCUGGAAGGACUUACAGAGAUGGGGAGAUGCCUCCAGACUGAAGAUGCUUUUCACCAAGUCUGAUGACCAGAGCUCAAUCCGUGGAACUCACAAGGCGGGAAA